rnacentral:rRNA from 2 species
GGUAUUGAUUGGUGCUUGCAUCAUGAUUUACAUUUGAGUGAGUGGCGAACUGGUGAGUAACACGUGGGAAACCUGCCCAGAAGCGGGGGAUAACACCUGGAAACAGAUGCUAAUACCGCAUAACAACUUGGACCGCAUGGUCCGAGUUUGAAAGAUGGCUUCGGCUAUCACUUUUGGAUGGUCCCGCGGCGUAUUAGCUAGAUGGUGGGGUAACGGCUCACCAUGGCAAUGAUACGUAGCCGACCUGAGAGGGUAAUCGGCCACAUUGGGACUGAGACACGGCCCAAACUCCUACGGGAGGCAGCAGUAGGGAAUCUUCCACAAUGGACGAAAGUCUGAUGGAGCAACGCCGCGUGAGUGAAGAAGGGUUUCGGCUCGUAAAACUCUGUUGUUAAAGAAGAACAUAUCUGAGAGUAACUGUUCAGGUAUUGACGGUAUUUAACCAGAAAGCCACGGCUAACUACGUGCCAGCAGCCGCGGUAAUACGUAGGUGGCAAGCGUUGUCCGGAUUUAUUGGGCGUAAAGCGAGCGCAGGCGGUUUUUUAAGUCUGAUGUGAAAGCCUUCGGCUCAACCGAAGAAGUGCAUCGGAAACUGGGAAACUUGAGUGCAGAAGAGGACAGUGGAACUCCAUGUGUAGCGGUGAAAUGCGUAGAUAUAUGGAAGAACACCAGUGGCGAAGGCGGCUGUCUGGUCUGUAACUGACGCUGAGGCUCGAAAGUAUGGGUAGCAAACAGGAUUAGAUACCCUGGUAGUCCAUACCGUAAACGAUGAAUGCUAAGUGUUGGAGGGUUUCCGCCCUUCAGUGCUGCAGCUAACGCAUUAAGCAUUCCGCCUGGGGAGUACGGCCGCAAGGCUGAAACUCAAAGGAAUUGACGGGGGCCCGCACAAGCGGUGGAGCAUGUGGUUUAAUUCGAAGCUACGCGAAGAACCUUACCAGGUCUUGACAUACUAUGCAAAUCUAAGAGAUUAGACGUUCCCUUCGGGGACAUGGAUACAGGUGGUGCAUGGUUGUCGUCAGCUCGUGUCGUGAGAUGUUGGGUUAAGUCCCGCAACGAGCGCAACCCUUAUUAUCAGUUGCCAGCAUUAAGUUGGGCACUCUGGUGAGACUGCCGGUGACAAACCGGAGGAAGGUGGGGAUGACGUCAAAUCAUCAUGCCCCUUAUGACCUGGGCUACACACGUGCUACAAUGGAUGGUACAACGAGUUGCGAACUCGCGAGAGUAAGCUAAUCUCUUAAAGCCAUUCUCAGUUCGGAUUGUAGGCUGCAACUCGCCUACAUGAAGUCGGAAUCGCUAGUAAUCGCGGAUCAGCAUGCCGCGGUGAAUACGUUCCCGGGCCUUGUACACACCGCCCGUCACACCAUGAGAGUUUGUAACACCCAAAGUCGGUGGGG